UCUUCUUCGCCUGCCAACAAGAUGGGGCAGAAAAAAGGCAAAUUGCAAAGGUGACGUGGGUAGAAGAAGAGAGCUUGUGGUGCCCUGGAGGCUAUCACAAAGGAGGUAUCUAUGGCUGCUACGCUUGUGAUAUAAAGCUGAGAGAAGGAGGGACUUAGCACAAAUGUCUCCAACAGCUCCAGGUGGUUUGCACUGUGUGGGCCUUGGGUUCUCACCAUGUUGGAGCACAACAAGCAAGGGGGCUGAAGCUGCCCUUCUGACAAGAAAGAAAAGGUGCAUCAUCCUCAAACAACUCUAUCCCCCUCC